rnacentral:rRNA from 1 species
UACGUAGGGGCUAGCGUUAUCCGGAAUUACUGGGCGUAAAGGGUGCGUAGGUGGUUUCUUAAGUCAGAGGUGAAAGGCUACGGCUCAACCGUAGUAAGCCUUUGAAACUGGGAAACUUGAGUGCAGGAGAGGAGAGUGGAAUUCCUAGUGUAGCGGUGAAAUGCGUAGAUAUUAGGAGGAACACCAGUUGCGAAGGCGGCUCUCUGGACUGUAACUGACACUGAGGCACGAAAGCGUGGGGAGCAAACAGGAUUAGAUACCCGUGUAGUCCCUGAGCGGG